UCCUGCCCAGUGAUAUAUUCAACGGCCGCGGUAUCCUAACCGUGCAAAGGUAGCAUAAUCACUUGCCUAUUAAUUGUAGGCUAGAAUGAACGGAAAAACGAAAUAUAGGCUGUCUCUAUAAGUAAAAUAAAAAUUAAUUUCUAACUGAAGAGUGUUAGAUAGAAUCGAAGGACAAGAAGACCCUAUAGAGCUUUAUCUAAACAAGAGAUAUUAAUAAGAUUCGGUUGGGGCGACCAAGGAUAACUCUAAUCAUCCUAAAUAAACAGAUUUAUACAUCACAGUCUUGACAAAAAAGAACAAGCUACCUUAGGGAUAACAGGCUAAUCUUGCUAGAGAGUCCUUAUCUAAAGCAAGGAUUGGCACCUCGAUGUUGGCUUAGGGAAACUAUUUGACGCAAAAGUCAUAUAAAGAUGGUUUGUUCAACCAAUAAAUCCCUACAUGAGCUGAGUUCAGACCGGCGUAAGCCAGGUUAGUUUCUAUCCACGAUCCUAUUCAUAGUACGAAAGGACCUGAGUAAGGGUAAUUUUAUUAAUGAAUUAAUAUAAUAAACAUAAUAUAAUAAACACUAU
rnacentral:rRNA from 1 species